rnacentral:rRNA from 1 species
UACGGGGGGAGCAAGCGUUGUUCGGAUUUACUGGGCGUAAAGGGCGCGUAGGCGGCGCCGCAAGUCGACUGUGAAAUCUCCGGGCUUAACCCGGAAAGGUCAGCCGAUACUGCGGGGCUAGAGUGGCAGAAGGGGCAACUGGAAUUCCCGGUGUAGUGGUGAAAUGCGUAGAGUAUCGGGAGGAACACCAGUGGCGAAGGCGGCUCUCCUGGGUCGGCCCUGACGCUGAGGCGCGAAGCGUGGGA